GAGGAGGAUGACGCCAGCAGAGGCUGCAGAGAUGCUAACAGCAUCGAUACAUAAACACACACUGACAGAUCUAACUGCUAGCUGCUAAUAGAGGCAGACAGAGAGAGAGAGACAGAGGCAGACAGAGAGAGAGAGACAGUCAGACAGAGAGAGAGAGAGAGAGACAGACAGACAGACAGAGAGAGAGAGAGAGAGAGAGAGAGGGAGACAGGUGGAGGGAGGCUGAUGCUGGCAGCACACACACACACACAGACACACACUGAGCUGCAGUGAAGCUAGCUUAUUAGCAUGCUCAGGAUAAGAGGCUAACCUACUAACACACACACACACACACAGCAAUGCAGUGUCCCGGGCUUCCUAUUGGACGGUCUAGAUGUAGUCAAACUUCAGAUUGACAGACAGCCUAUUGUAGGUGCGGAGCCUGCAGGUGGUGGUGAUGUCAAAGCGAGGAGCAGGGGGGCGGGGGAAGGGGGAGCGACCUGACGCCAUGGCAACUCUUCAAGCAGCCAAUGAGGAGCUGAGAGCCAAACUGACGGACAUCCAGAUAGAACUACAACAGGAAAAGAACAAAGUCAGUCGUCUGGAGAGAGAGAAGAGUCAGGAACUGAAGGCGGAGCAUCACCGGGCAACGGUCGCGGUGACGGAGCUGAAGACCAAACUCCAUGAGGAGAGGCAGAAGGAGCUGGCUGUUACAAGGGAGACGUUACUACGGCAACACGAGAUGGAGCUAAUGAGAGUCAUCAAGAUCAAAGACGGAGAGAUUCAGCGUCUGAACGGACUGGUGCUAACACUGAGGGACGGAUCCACGGACAAGGUGAGGAGUGCACUGCUGGCAGAGGUGGAGGAGGCGAGGAGAAACUGGGAGGCGGAGCGGUGUCGCCUCCAGCAGGAGGUUCAUGAGCUGCGAGGAGCAAAGAGGAACACUGAGGAGGCUCUGACAUCUGCUCAGCAGGCCUGCCAGGCCCGAGCAGCUGAACUGCGAUCAGCUCAUCACCAACACCAGGAGGAGCUGAACAGGACCAAGAGAGACUGUGAGAGGGAGAUCCGCCGUCUGAUGGAUGAGAUAAAGCUGAAGGACAGAGCUGUCAGUGUAUUGGAUAAAGCCCUGGGGCUGCAGGCUGGACACGCCCACCGCCUCCAGCUGCAGACUCAGGCUGCCGAGCAGCAAAUUGCAGCCCUGAGAGACGCACAGAGGGCAGGGCUAAACCACCCUGGCCAAGCCCUUAACCCCACCCCUAACACUCCUCCUCACAUUUCUCAGGAGGACCGGGACACUCGGAGGUUUCAGUUAAAAAUUGCUGAGCUCAGCGCCGUCGUCAGGAAGCUGGAGGAUCGAAAUGCUCUUCUGUCUGAAGAACGCAACGAACUGCUGAAGCGUCUGAGAGAGACGGAGAGCCAGUUUCUUCCCCUUCUGGACAAAAACAAACGUCUGAGCAGGAAAAAUGAGGAGCUGGCUCUCACGCUGCGUCGCCUCGACAACAAGCUUCGCUUCAUCACCCAGGAAAACCUGGAGAUGGUAACUAUGAGGAGACCGAGUUCUUUAAAUGACCUGGACCGCAGCCACUCCACCAGUUACCAUGGUUACAGCCAGGAUGAGAGAGAGAUGGAGUUUCUACGGUUACAAGUUCUGGAGCAACAACACAUCAUCGACGACCUGUCCAAGGCUCUGGAGACAGCUGGUUAUGUCAAGAAUGUUAUAGAGAGAGACAUGUUACUGAGAUACAGACGACAGGAAUCAGUGAGGAGGAAACGAACCUUCAGAGCCUGCAGGGUCGUAGAGACGUUUUAUGGUUAUGAUGAAGAAGCAUCAGUGGACUCUGAUGGAUCGUCUUUGUCGUUUCACACUGACAGAACUCCAGAUACUGAACCCGAGGAGGUGUGUGUGCGUGAGGAAGCAGAACUUCGUUACCGUCAGCUGACUCAGGAGUAUCAGGCGCUGCAGCGAGCAUACGCUCUGCUGACGGAGACGAGCGGAGGAAACUACGAUGCUGAGAAGGAGAUCAAGACCAGAGAGCAGCUGCUGACUGAAAUCAGUCGAUAUGAAACCAGAGUUGUAGAUCUGGAGUCAGCACUGAAACAACAAGGACUGGAUGUGAAGUGGGUGGAGGAGAAACAGGCGUUGUAUCAGAGGAAUCAGGAGUUGGUGGAGAAGGUGAAGCAGAUGGAAGGUGAAGAUCUCCGGCUGAAAAAUGACAUCCAGGACGUCAAAGAUCAGAAUGAGCUGCUGGAGUUUCGGAUCUUAGAGCUCGAGGAGAGGGAGCGACGCUCACCUGCCAUUAACUUCCAGCAACUCCAUUUCCCAGAAGAACUCAGUCCUCUGCAGAUAUACUGCGAGGCAGAGGGAGUCACUGAGAUUGUGAUCAGUGAGUUGAUGAAGAAGCUGGACAUUCUGGGAGAUAACGCCGUAAGUAAUCUGUCCAAUGAGGAGCAGGUGGUGGUGAUCCAUGCCAGGACGGUGCUCACUCUGGCAGAGAAGUGGUUGGAGUCCAUCGAAGUGACGAAGUCGGCUCUGCAGCAGAAGAUGUUGGACAUCGAGAGCGAGAAGGAUCUUUUCCGUAAACAGAAAGGUUACCUGGACGAAGAGCUGGACUACAGGAAGCAGUCGAUGGAUCAGGCUCAUAAGAGGAUCCUGGAACUGGAGGCCAUGUUGUUUGAGGCUCUGCAACAGGAGGAGGAGUCCAGGAUGGAGGGAUUAAAAAUGGAGGAAGGUCGUCUGUCUGAAACACUGACAGAGGAUGAGAGGGAGGGGCUUAAGAGAGCAAUGGACCAAUGGAAACGAAGUGUGAUGUUUGAGCUGAGAGAGAGAGACACCCAGAUCCUCAGGGAGAGGAUGGAACUACUGCAACUCACACAACAGAGGAACAAGGAGCUGGAGGAAUGUAUAGAAGCACAGAAACGACAGAUUAAAGAGCUGGAGGAGAAGUUUCUAUUUCUCUUUCUAUUCUUCUCUUUGGCCUUCAUCCUCUGGUCCUAACAGCAGCUGGUGAGUCCCACAGCAACAUGGCUUACUGCAGGGCAAAAUGGGUUGUUUUGUGUCUACAGGCCUCCAGAGUCCAACAGCUGAACACUCAGCAGGGUCGGCUCAGUCUGGAUCAGACCAAACGACAGAAGGAUUCAGAGUUUGGAACCAGCAGCUUACUGACUGAGGGACUGCCCCACUGACCUGCCUGUGGCUGUUGUCAGCCAAUCAGAGCAGAGCUCAGCUGUCAGCUGACUCUGGAGCUACACCAUCACACCUCAUGGAAGAAGACAAGGAUGGUCUCCACGGCAACAGAUGAACGUUGUGUCUCGGACAAGUGAAAACCACAACCGGCAACAUCUUAACUAGCUUCCUGUUAGCUACUUUUAGCUACACCUGAUAUGCAGCUGACAAACACACAUUCUAGCCUCAGGAGGCCUGCUGGACCAAAGUGGUGCUGGACUUCAUACAGUUUUAGCUCAGCUAGCUGAUUUUAAACAUUGCUAGCUAAGUUAGCUGAAUUCAUACAGUUAACUCAGCUAGUUGACUUCAGUGUUAAUGUAGUUGAUGGGUCAGUUACAGUUAACUAACCUGUUUGUAGGUUAAUGAAGCUGCAGUGACAGAGGCAGAUCAAUGAGCUACAGCAGAAGUUCAGUAAAGUGGUAACUAAGUUACCUUGAUGAGUUGAAUCAGUUGAAUCACUGUAGAAACACAGUAGAAAAUAAUAGAAACUGUUGUUAAAUGGAGCGUUCUCAUGUCCUGAUAUAAGUUCAGUUGAAUUUAACUUUGUUCUGAUUGGCUGUUUCACCUGUAGACUGGAGAGUGGUUUAACACCGUAGAGCCUCUCAGCUCCACUCAUGGAUCUAAGGUUAUAGUGUGUAACCUUCAUACUGUUUCAGCCCGCUUGAAUCAUUCCGGGACCAAAUAUUGAUGAAGGACACACAUCUUCAUGACAUCAGGAGGUCUGAUGGAGGUCAGAGCUGCAUAAAACUGAAUAACCGAACUGUUACAAGAAAACAACAGAACAAAACAAAAUGAUGUUCUGAUCUGAAGAAACAAAGCAUGAAGGUUGAGAGAAGUCUGAAAAAGGUUUAAUAACUGAUUAAAUAAAUAAACCUGCUGCAGUUUGGUGUUACUCUGCAGAGUUUAGAUGUGAUCCAGUCUCUAUACACGAUUAUAAUGUGGUGAUAUUUCACAGUAAAGUACACAGUAACGUCCUUCAUAGACCCGACUAAAUAAUUGAGGAUAAUUUCACAAAACAAAUAUAUUACAUACAUACAACAUAAUAUUAUGUUAUAUUAUUUAUUAUUAUUAUUAUUAUUAUUAUAUGAAUUUAUGCAUUCUUCAUUUUACUCUGCUGCUAGACCUAAUCAGGACAUUUGAUUAUGAAAUGACUAUCUGAUCAAAUGAAAUGGAAAUCUGAAAAUAGAAAGGAAAUUAAAUGAAGUACGGUAACAAUAUAUUACGGUGCACAUAUUUACCAUUAACUACUUGCUUAUUAGUAUGCAUAUUAGUAGCAUGUUGGCUCUUUAUUAGUCAUUAUAACGCGCUUAUUAAUGUCUUAUUCUGAAUGACCAUAUUCUACAACUACUAGGCCAUUAACUAAGAGUUUUCCUCCAAUAACCUCCUAAUUACUGCUUAUUGAUAGUAAGUAAGGAAGAUGUACAUGAAUUACGAUCUUAAUAUGCUUUGCUCAGUAUGGGCCUUAUAAGGUGGUAGAACCACAAGAAUAGUCAUUCUCCCUUAAUAACACUUAAUAAAUAUGGUCUAUUCUUAUGUAACACAUCAUAAAACUACAAGUGUUAAUAGUGUCCAAAUAACUCUAAAUUAAGUCUUUCUAACUCAGAAUAUGUUCCCCAUUCUAAUGAGUAGUUUGACACUUAUUAACCCCCACAGGUUCCCUAUUCCUCUUCACACUUAGUAAAUCCAUUAUUCUCUGCUUGCAUAAUGUAGUGUAAUGUACGAACUACAUGUCUGUUUACUUCCUGUCAACUCGAAUGUUACCUUCGCCUCCAACCUUGGUGAUUACCUUACAGUGUUUGGAAAAGCUGCCAAAAAUGAAAGUGACUGACUUGCACCGUCUUACAAAAGCGAGCACCUUUUCCAAGUACCAAGUGUAAAAAACUGCUAAAAAAAGCUGUGAAAAUCAGGCUAACGUUGGUGCUACACUGAGUGACUGGCUAACGUUGCUAAUGGUUAUCUAAGACUCUGAGGUGAUUAUGAAAAUGAUAAAAAAACACUAUAUACAAAAAUGAUCAGUAAAUACUAUUAAUACUAUUAGUACUAAUGACUAUUCUUGUGGUACUACCACCUUAUAAGGCCCAUACUGAGUAAAGUAUAUUAAGAUUAAUAUAAUUCAUGUACAACAACUUCCCUACUUACUAUCAUUAAGCAGUAAUUAGGAGGUUAUUGAGGGAAACACUUAGUUAAUGGCCUGGUAGUUGUAGAAUAUGGUCAUGCAGAAUAAGGCAACAAUAAGUGCUAUAUAAUGAGCCAACAUGCUACUAAUAUGCAUGCUAAUAAGCAACGAGUUAAUGGUGAAUAUGUGCACGCUGAGUACAUAAAUGGAAAUGUUCAAAUAAAUAGUUCAAUUGUAAACAAUGACUUAAUAUUUAGUAGUCUGGUUACUUUUCAAAUCAUAUUGAUGUUUUCUUUUCCCUUUACAGUUAAAACUUUCCUUUUAAGAUUUCAUGGCAUGCCAGGAGUUUGAGUUUCAAUUUAAUUUUGUGACCAAUUUGUCAUUUCAACAUCAAAUUCCCUUUGUUUGUAUUUUUCACUUUUAACUAUGAUAAUCUUUGGUGAUAGAGUCAAAAGAACAUGAUUUAUACACCGUUUAAAAUGUUUUCUCUGUGUAAAUGAUCUUCUGUUGGUCCUGCAGCGUCCUCAGUGUUUAACUGAAGCAGGUUCAGAACAGAAUCAACACAAUGAAUCCUUCAUUUUUUAAAAACUGGAUCCUGCUGUUGUACUUUUAUUAUUCCAGAUGAUAUUUUUCUAUCUCUGCUGUGAGUCUGAACUCAGUGAUCAUCUGAAGAGUUGGUAGUAUGAGUUCAGUUCAAUUUUAUCUACAUAACCAAAUCACAAUUUGCCUCAAGAGGGUGUUGAUGUGAUUACAGAUUAAAAAUGGUGGAAAACGA